UUCCCCUUAGCUCAGUCUGGCAGAGCGGGCGCUUUGGGAGCGUCAGGUCAAGUGUUCAAAUCACUUAGGGGAGACCA
rnacentral:tRNA from 4 species